rfam:Miscellaneous Crenarchaeota group-1 archaeon SG8-32-1 WOR_8-12_11828, whole genome shotgun sequence.
GGGCCCGUAGCUCAGCAAGGCAGAGCGGCGGACUGGUCCAUCUGGACUAGGCUGAGGCUCUUAACCCGUAGGUCAGGGGUUCAAUUCCCCUCGGGCCCG